CAGCCUGGGUAGUGGUUCCAUGUCUGGAGUUGAAGAAAGAGCUAGUUUCCUCAGAAUCACAUAGUUCCCCAUAUAAACUGAGAGCUCACAGAAAGAGAAAAGAGAAGAAUGUAAACUCAGAAGGAACCAAGAAGAAUUCAUUACAUUAUGAAAUCUGGCCAACCAGGAAGUGAAUCCAAAUAAAGAAGUACAAGAUGAGCAAUAAAUGUGAAAGAACAGGAAACCUUGGUGGAGAGUCCAGCAUAGGCCCAGGGUCUUGCAAUCCACAUCCAGGAUGUGCAGUUUUUCCUGCCUGACUUGGCUGUGGCUCAGAGGGAAGAUGAUGUUGGCUGGAUUUGAGGAAUCAGCACAAGAAAUUUGCAUGAUAUCACCAUGGAGGCCAGGAGGAAAAAGGAGCUUCCCUGAAGAUGUCUCUGCUUUAAGGAUGGAAGAGCCCUGUGAAUAUGGGAGGACCAUGGCCAAGAAGAUUCACAUUGGGUGGGAUUUUUGAAGAGGAAAGUGGGAAGACUGGCUUCUCCUUCUAGCCAAGAGCCUGGGUGACCUUGAGUUUGUUCUUUAAGCUCUCUAAACUCUUAUGAGAAGAGUUUGUACCAAAUAAUCUUCCAGCCCUGUGACUAUGAUUUUAAGGCAGAUCAGAUAUCAAAUCCUCUUUGAAUCUUAGUCCUUACCCAGGGAUGGUCAGGUAUGCCCUUUAACACAGGGCGAAAUGACUUAAAGACACCAUGUUGACUAGUUAUCAUUGCAUUCCCAUGCUAGA